GCUUGACUGUAUCUUGGAAUUGGGUUCGGGCUUUUCUUGCGCAGACUAGGUGGGAGCUAUGAAGAUUUUCUCGGAAAGUUGAGCCAACAGUGAGAGACCACUCUGAGAAGCUAGAAUCCUAAUGGUGAUCCUUGAAUCAGGACAUUUGACAGUUGCAGGUGGGCAGUUUUACUGGGGCGGAAGCCUCUAAAAGGUAACGGAGGCGCUGCAAAGGUCCCUCAGUCUGGACGGAAAUCAGACAUUGAGUGUAAAGGCAAAAGGGGGCUUGACUGCAAGACCACAAGUCGAGCAGGGGCGAAAGCGGCCUUAGUGAUCCGACGGUGCCGGUGGAAGGCCGUCGCUCAACGAAUAAAGUA
rnacentral:rRNA from 1 species